rnacentral:rRNA from 1 species
UGGGGAAUUUUGGACAAUGGGGGCAACCCUGAUCCAGCAAUGCCGCGUGUGUGAAGAAGGCCUUCGGGUUGUAAAGCACUUUUGUCCGGAAAGAAAACGCCGUGGUUAAUACCCGUGGCGGAUGACGGUACCGGAAGAAUAAGCACCGGCUAACUACGUGCCAGCAGCCGCGGUAAUACGUAGGGUGCAAGCGUUAACCGGAAUUACUGGGCGUAAAGCGUGCGCAGGCGGUCCGCUAAGACAGAUGUGAAAUCCCCGGGCUUAACCUGGGAACUGCAUUUGUGACUGGCGGGCUAGAGUAUGGCAGAGGGGGGUAGAAUUCCACGUGUAGCAGUGAAAUGCGUAGAGAUGUGGAGGAAUACCGAUGGCGAAGGCAGCCCCCUGGGCCAAUACUGACGCUCAUGCACGAAAGCGUGGGGAGCAAACAGGAUUAGAUACCCUGGUAGUCCACGCCCUAAACGAUGUCAACUAGUUGUCGGGUCUUCAUUGACUUGGUAACGUAGCUAACGCGUGAAG